ACGGUAAUGUGAUCCUAUUUCAUAUUCUUUUGAAUAUUCUUUUUCGGUAUUAGAGUCAGUGCAUCUCUCAAGAGGACAAAGCUUCUGCAGGAGCUCAAGAAUACAUAUCACUACUUCAACUUCGUCAUCUUCUUCAGGAGUGUUCUAACAGUGGCACAAAAGCCAAGUAUAUUUUUCGCAGUUUGCAUUUCUACUAUUAGCCUUUCGACGGUUCCUGUCUGAUGUUAGUCUCCCGGAUGAAAUUCGCUGGGAUAGCACAGCAUCCACGGUAACGUUCUCUGUUUGUCUGCUUCGAACGGUGAGUCGCAUGCAUUUCUGUUCUUCUGGUCAC